UAAACUUGCAUUUGGUUACUGCGUUCCUACCUGUUCUGCUUGCCGACUUCCACCACCCGGCCCCAGAACAACUGAACCAGGCGGUAGCGGAAAAAUCGAACCAGGAGGCGGAGGAAUAAUCGAACCAGGAGGCGGCGGAACAAUCGAACCAGGAGGCGGCGGAACAAUUAGGGUAGGCAUCGGCAGAACAAACGAACCAGGCCGCGGCGGAACUGGGGACGGCGAACCAAUAAAACCGGGCGGAGGCGGAACAACUGAACAAGGUGGAGGAGGACCCGGCGAACCCCGUGGGACAGAAAACCUCAUCCAAUUUCCCAUUCCGACAAAUCCUUCCUGGAGUAAUCUCUCUUACUCUCUGUGUUUCUUUCCAACUGCAAAACAUAUUUCCUCCGCUUGACUAGAGUUGACGAAAAAGUUUUUGGUACCCAAAAGCUACGCAUAAUUUGGUGAAAAAUCAAAGCUUUAAUUUUCAAGUUUUUAAUUAUUAGCUAAUUUGGACUGAAGAUUUUUCUGGGAUUGCUUAUUUUACAAAAAGAGAUUAAACUUUACAAAUUUUGAAUAUAGUUAAAAAAAUAAUGACACUUCAUAAAAUAUAAGAACAUAUAAAUAUAGUUUUUUUAUAAAAUUAAUA
rnacentral:misc_RNA from 1 species